AAAUGUUGAAGUCCUUUUAAUCGGGGCAUAGAAAAGAACCUAUCCAAGCCAGAUUCCCCAUUUGGAGUACAAUAACUUUGGUUAGAGGUUGAGAUCAACGCCAGCAUUGAGCCCAUCCUAAGGGCUCAAUCAAUCAUUUCUUAACCAACAAGCAACUCAUAGCAGCCAAAAUACAGCCUAUAAGAAAAUUGGGGCAUCAAAGUGUUCACCAAAAAGCCCACAUACACCCUUACUAUGUGUAUUGGUGUUGCAACAAUCUUUGACACCA
rnacentral:lncRNA from 1 species